GUUUGGUUGUUGUAGGUUGCUGUAUAUAUCAUAUUUGUUUUUUGCUUAUUGUUUUGUAUGUAAAUCGGGCAGUUUGUUUUCUCAUUUGUAUUGUUUUAUAUUUAGAGGCUUUCUGCAGUUUACCGUGCGGUAUGCUCAUUGUUGAAGACCGCACAGCGACUUUUUACGCUAGCAAAGGGUUACGAUCCAGUCUCAACACCUCAUAAUAGAACCCUUGGCUAGUGUAGAUGUACAAUGACCCUAAAUUUGUUAUGACUUC
rnacentral:lncRNA from 1 species